GAAUAUCUAUCUGGAAUAAAAACUAUUUUUCCCAAUUAUCAACAACAUGGGAGACUUAAAAAUAAAUUUGUAAGUGGAAUAUCCAAAGAUAGUGUUACACUGAAAGAAAGCGGCUGCAGCCUGAGUGAGGCAGAUCAUGACUGUAAUCAAUCCCAUAACUGUGGGAGGCUGAGGCAGGCCGACUACUUGAGCCCAGGAGGUCAACACCAGCCUGGGCAACAUAGUGAGGCUACUCUCUACAAACUUUUUUAAAAAAAAUUAGCCAAGUGUGGUGGCAUGCACCUGUAGUCCCAGCUACUUGGGAGGCUGAGGAUCACUUGAGCCUGAGAGUCAAGGCUGCCAUAAGCUGAAAUUGCACCACUGCACUCCAGCCUGGGCAACAGAGCUAGACUUUGUCUCAAAAACAAACAAACAAACAAAAACCAAAAAGAAAAAGAAAAAGAGGCUCCAAAGUGUAGAAUCUUAAAUCUAAAACUUGUCACUAAACCUCCUCAUUAGUUCCACGUCACAAGAUGGAAUAUUUUAAGUUCCAUCACGUGAAAUCUUAUAUUCCUUUUACUCUGUCAACUUAAAGUACACAGAUUAAUGUCCUAUUAUGGCUGUUUCAGGAGAGCUACCAAAACUGAGGGAGGAAUUAUGUGACCAUGUAAGAAGUUAGAUGACAUUAUAUUCAACACUAAAGAGUCUAUGCUUCUACUAACUGAUAAAAUUACCAUAAUUUCAGUAGAAUAAACUACUGGAUCCAAAGAAACAUAAGUCAUAGCCAUUCCUUUUGGUCCCAAAUUCACAAGCAUGGAAAUAACAACUACAAAGAAUCAAAAUUAUAAGAAAAAUAGUUCAGCUGAUUUUCAAAACAUUCACAGAAUUAUCUAACAUGUAGGACUAGAUGACCAAUGCCAGAGUUUACAUCUUGCUAAUCAUGAGAAACUCAACAAUUAACAAGGCAGCAAGUAAGUGAAGAAACACACGAGAUCCAAUUUUGUCUCAACAGAAGAACUUUCACUCUCUGUCCAGGUAGGUGACAAAAAGUGAUAAUUCACACACAUUCAAUUCAUUCUGGUGCUUAUUUUUCAAAUGUUCCAUGCAAAUUUACCACUCACUGCAUGCAAACAGAGAAAAAAGAAAACCCACAAAGCACAUGUAAAAAUUGCAUAAACAUGACUUAAAGACAUUUUGCUAUCUAUGAAGCUAUAAACCCCACCUGAAAAUUAAAAACUGUUAUCACAGAUUUAGCACUAUGCAAAAUAUGAAAGUGAAAACAUGUAAAAAUAAAAUGGAAAUGCAGAAUCUAGAAAAUUUAAAAUAUAUAUUGCUACCCUUCAGUAAAGAAAGGGAGAUAAUGUCAUGUUCUCCCAAACUACAGUGACUUCCCUGGUGAAAAUGUAAGUAGGUAUUUCCUUUCUGGAGGAAAACAGUGAACAUGUAUCGAAAGUCUUAAAAACACGAAUACCGUGUGAAUGAGAUCCUACUUGUGGAAAAUAAUUUGACAAUUUUACAAAAAUGCAUUGUUUCUAUAUCUGAAAAAAACAUGUCUAAUAAAAGAUUACUUAAAUGAACUGAUAAUAGGUCACACAAUAAAAUAAAAACUAUCAAGAUUUGAAUUCGACAAAGAACUGCCUAGUCUUCCUGAUAUAUCACUAACUGACAAAAGUCAGUUAAAAAGUAGCAGGUGUAGGAUGAACCCAUUGUUAUUUCAAAGCAUUAAUAGCAUUUUCUCUGGAUGAUGUGAUUAAGUGAGUUUUAAAACUUCUUCCAUCUUUUGAUUUCUUAUUUAUUCUUUCCAUAGUAAGGAUGCUACUUGCAUAUUAAAAAUUAAUAACUAUAAGGGGAAAACAAUAGCAGUUAUAAAACUUCAUAUACAUGAUUUGAAUGGCCCCGAGAUUUACUAAAUUGUCUCUGAUUUUUAAAAAAAUUACAAAAGUCAAAAUACCAAAAUAGAUAUUUUUAAUGUGAGCUUUUAUACUAAAAUAACCUCCCCAAAACUUGUCAGAUACAUAGUACUUCUUUAUAUACUACAUAGGAGGAGAGUGAUCAGCACAAACAGAACGAGACUGAAAAAUCAGAAGAUCUGCAUUAAGUGUCAUCCUUCUGUCCCUAAGCAGCUGUAGGAUCCUAGGGAAACAAUUGUCUGGGCCUCAGUUUUCCCAGCUUUAUGAGUCCCUUCAGUUCUAAUUUUAAAGUUAUUUUAUGUAAUAGGGAGGUGAGCAAGAAACUAGUAUUUGCUGGAUGCCUGAUAACUUAUUACACACACUGCGGGGCACUUUGACAUGGGUUAUCUCAUUUGAAUACCAUGACAUUGAGGAUUAUCUUCAGUCCACAGCCAAAGAGAGAAAUAGAACUGGAGUCAAAUCACGAAACCAAGAUCUCAAAGAAAGUACAGAACCAAGACAAGAAUAGGAGUCCAGGAGUCUUUCAGCUUCAGAGUCUAAGUCAUUUUGACUAUAUUGUUUUGCAGAAGGUGAUUCAUUUCAAAAUAAUUAUUUUUUAACAUGAGUAAUACUGAAGAAUUCUAUGGAAAAAAAUCUCAUAACUAAUGUGCAACUGGGAAAAAAAUCUGAAGAAUCAUAACGUGAACCUCACAUUUAUGCAUCUAUCUGGUACCACAAAGGCAGACCAAGUUUCUUGAGGAAAUGGAACCACUAUAUUCUGCAAAGUUAAUUUCUCUCUAAUUUGUUGAGGACCUAUGUGCUAUGCAUUUUAUAGACAUUCCCACUUUAGAGGGGAAUAAACCUUAACAGUUAAGAGCUCGCAUUCUGAGGCCAGAUGCCCAAGUUCACAUAAUGGCUCUACCUCUUAAUUAACUAUGUGACCCUGAAUGAAUUACUUGAUCUUUCUGGACGUAAGUUUCCUCGUAAUUUAAAUGGUAGUAUCUACGAGCAUUAUCAUGGUGAGAGUAUUAUUCUUCUUCACAUUACCAAUUGUGAGAAAAUUAAAUGUGUUAAUAUAUAUAAAGUGCUUAGAACAUUGCCUGGCACAUACUAAGCACUAUGAAAGUGUUAGCUACUACUAUUAUUGUUGUAAUUGUUACUAUCACCCUCACAAGUGUAUGAGUUAGCACUAUAAACCUUCAUUCUGCUGAUGCUCAGAGAAAUUACAUAAGUCAUACAUCUAAUAAGAGAUUUGAACUCAGCUACUAAACUUGAGCUUUUAAUAACUAUUAAGAGGAGGAUCUGAAAGUAGCCCUCUAUAUUUGAUCUGCCUUUCUGUGCCAAGUUUAACAAAUAGCAGCUACACUGAUGAGACAGGACUAAAGGAAGCCAUGCCAGAACCUCCAAGUUAAUGGUGGAAUCAACUAUAUUAAGCAUUCUUCUUUUUUCCUCACUCCAAUGACACCUUAAUUUAUCUGACCUCAUCUGCAUCACUAUCUAAUUUAGGAUAUGUAAAAGGCAUACAAAAUUUAGAGCACAUAAAAGGGCCUCUACGUUGGAAAAGUAUACACUAAUAACGACUUUUUGGUAUAGUUCCUGCGCAAGGGAAAUCCUUGUACCAUAUGGGUCACCAAAUCAUAGCUCGUAAGUCAAAUCGAGUCCACCACCUGUUUAUGUCUCUCAAGCUUAGAAUAUUUUACAUUUUUAAAUGGCUGGAAAAAGUUUGAAAAAUAAUAAUAGUUUGUAACGUGAAAAUUAUAAGAAAUUCAAGUUCCAGUAUCCAUCAAGUGUACUGGAACAUACCCAAGUUCAUUGAUUUAUAAAUAUACUAUAUAUGAUAAUGCUUUGGCUCUGUGUCCCCACCCAAAUCUCAUCUUGAAUUGUACUCCCAUAAUUCUCAUGUGUUGUAGGAGUGACCCCCUGGGAGAUAAUCUGAAUCAUGGGGGCAGUUUCCCACAUGCUGUUCUUGUGGUAGUAAGUCUCACGAGAUCUGAUGGUUUUAUCAGGGGUUUCCGCUUUUGCAUCCUUCUCAUUUUCUCUUGUCACUGCCAUGCAAGAAGUGUCUUUCACCUUUCGCCAUGAUUCUGAAGCCUUCCCAGCCAUGUGGAAGUGUAAGUCCAAUUAAACUUCUUUUUUUUUUCCCAGUCUCAGGUACGUCUUUAUCAGCAGCGUGAAAAAGGACUAAUACAAUAUACUAUAUAGUUUAUGGCUGUUUUUCAUACUACAAUGGCAGAGUUGAGUACUUUAGGCCUGCAAAACCUAAAACAAAUACCACCUGCCCUUUACAGAAAAUGUUUGCCAACCCUUAGUUUAGGAUCUAUUAUUUAUCUCUGCCCUCCAGUGACCCUGCCAUCUAAUCAUUUGGCCUCUUAACUCUCUCUUUACCCUGAGCAAAUCCGUAAAAUAAAAGGUAUACCUUUCCCCAAGUACUAUUAAAGAAAAGAAGAGGAGAGGGGAAAAGGGAAAAAGGGGAAAAGAAAGUGAGGAAAGGGAGAGGAUGCAAAAGAAAAAGAAGGAAAGAAAGGAAUUUCCCUGAUGAGAUCCCUUAGUAAUACCUUAUCAGCUGUUCAUAAUCAAAAUUCCUAGAAGAGGAACAACAGCUUACUUGCUAUAAUUUCUUCACAUUCCAUUGACUUUUCUUAUUACUCAAAAAACAAAGUAUGUUAUAAUGUGUUGAUUUUUAAAAUAAAACAAACUUUUCUUAUUUAGUCAGCAAUGAAGGUCAAGUGAGACCUUCUAGUAAAAGUCCUCUAAAGUCAGACACAUGAAAAUACUUAUCCAUUUAAAACAGACAAUACUUUCCAAUUAUUUAUUUCUAUGAUUGAAUUAAUGGGACAGUGCUACAAACAGAAGUCCUAUGGAAUAAGUCAUACUUGGAAGAUCAGAGUUUACUCUAGACAACUUGACAGCAAUCAGUUUAAAAAUGGUUUCACCUAGAGGGAUGUGUACUAAUGUUAGCAAUUAACUUUGAAAGGCAUAAAAAUUAAGAUGGAUUGAUGGAUACAAGGAUGGUUAUACGAUAAAGCAAUGUAAGUAUUAAUGGCAGAAUCUAGGUGGCAGGCAUAUGUGUGUCAGCUGUAAAAUUUGUGUUCAAUGUUUUUUUAGUUCCCACAUAUCAGUGAGAACAUGUGAUAUCUGUCUUUCCGUGUCUGGCUUAGUUCACUAAAAAAAUGAAUUUACAAGACAACUGGAAUAUAAGCAAUGAAUACAAGCACUAAGAAGAUGAAGCCAUAGAAACAGCUGCCAGAAAGUGAAGAUGUGACAGUGAACGCCAAACAAGUGGUGGAGUCUAUGGCCCUUCUCCUUGAAUCUGAGUGAAAUUAGUGAGUCUUUCAAUCCAAAGACUACAGUCAUACCUCAACUAUCUACAGAGGACUGGUUCCAGGACUCCCAUGGAUCCCAAAAUCCAAGGAUGCUUCGAAUCCCUUAUAUAAAAUGGCAUGGUAUUUGCAUAUAACCUACAUGCAUCUUCAAAUAUGUUAAACCAUCUCUAGAUUACUUAUAAUACCAAAUACAAUGUAAUGCUAUGUAAACAGUUGUUACAAUGUAUUGUCAAAGACAAGCUCUCCUUGCCAAUCCCUGACCAAAUGAGAGAUUCAUGAGCAAAAUAAAUAGUUGCUGAUAUUUAAGGCACUAAGUUUGGGGCAAUGUAUUACACAGCAAUAAAUAACUGGAACAGCAUAGUAAAUUCUAGUUAAAAAUACUAAACUACUAAGUUUUAGUUAACAUACAUGCUCAAGUUAAGGGUGUGGUAUACUAACAACUGCAACUUACUUUGAAAAGCAUAAAAAAAGACACUAGAAGAAGACAGGAUGGAUAGAUGGACAAGAUAGAAGACAAUAACAAAUAGAACAAAAUGUUGUGAAAUUAUAUUCUACAAUUAUUUUAAAGUCUGUGUGGUUUGAAAAAUUGUACGAUAAAAUGAAGAGUGAAAUAAAGACAUUUCCAUAC
ensembl:lncRNA SNHG14 small nucleolar RNA host gene 14